GUGAAUCAUCGAAUUUUUGAACGCAAAGGGAAAGGGGGGGGAGGGAGGAAAGUAGGCCGGUUUGAGGGUCAGUGAAAUAAAAAUCGGUGUUGUUGCGGAGGGUCGGGGGGAAAAGGCGGAAUUGAGGUGUGGGACAGUCGGUUAAGUGACUUAAAAUUUUGCAGGAUUUUCGAACGUAUUUAAAUUGCUUACGUACGUUUGAGAUAGCGAAGAAGGGAGGAGGUUCGGGCAGAAGCAUGAGGAGAAAAGAUAAUUGGUCAUUAAAGGACGUCAA
rnacentral:misc_RNA from 1 species